GACGGAGGGGGCAAGCGUUGUCCGGACUCACUGGGCGUAAAGGGUGCGUAGGCGGUUGCAUGCGUCGGCGCUGAAAUCCCUGGGCUUAACCCAGGGGCGCGUGCCGAUACGAUGCGACUUGAGGCUCGGAGAGGGUGGUAGAAUUCCUGGUGUAGCGGUGAAAUGCGCAGAUAUCAGGAGGAACACCGGUGGCGAAGGCGGGUCUCUGGGCCGAUAUUGACGCUGAGGAGCGAAAGCGUGGGGAGCGAACAGG
rnacentral:rRNA from 1 species